CCUACGGGUGGCUGCAGUGGGGAAUAUUGGGCAAUGGGCGCAAGUCUGACCCAGCAACGCCGCGUGAAGGAAGAAGGCUUUCGGGUUGUAAACCUCUUUUAUCAGGGAAGAAGCAAGUGACGGUUCCUUAUGAAUAAGCUACGGCUAACUAUGUGCCAGCAGCCGCGGUAAUACGUAGGUGGCAAGCGUGAUCCGGAUUUACUGGGUGUAAAGGGCGUGUAGGUGGGAGUGUAAGUCAGAUGUGAAAACUAUGGGCUCAACCCAUUGCCUGCAUUUGAUACUGGACUUCUUGAGUGCAGGAGAGGCAAGCGGAAUUCCGUGUGUAGCGGUGAAAUGCGUAGAGAUACGGAAGAACACCGGUGGCGAAGGCGGAUUGCUGGACAGUAACUGACGCUGAGGCUCGAAAGCGUGGGGAGCAAACAGGAUUAGAUACCCUUGUAGUC
rnacentral:rRNA from 1 species